AUGACGAGGAAUUAAAUAUAUCUAGUGUGUAUCUAGAUCUCACUUCUAUACAGAGUUUAGGAUGCACUGCUGUUAAUACCUUCAACUUUACCAAACCAUACAUUAGGAUUUUAGACUGUUUGGAAGAAAAUCCCAAAUCCUUGCUGG